UUGAUAGAGGAGCGGAACACAUCAGUAUAACGCAGAGCGGGAGCGAUGAAGCGUUUGAAAGGGCAACCGCCGAAGUUUAAAAAGCAGCCAUGUUUUUUAUGCUGGGCCGUCAGUGAAUAACUGCCGGACUGUCGCCACAAAGGCGGAGGGCUAUCU
rnacentral:ncRNA from 1 species